rnacentral:tRNA from 1 species
AGGGGCGGAGGUAACCAAGGGGAUAAAGGCGGGGGAUUGGGA